ensembl:lncRNA
CUUUGUGGAGAAGGUUGACAAUGGCACCACCUUGUGCAAAAUCUGAUCAUAACAGUUGAUUUCAAAGCGCAACUCUCUGACUACAUACACGUACAUAAACUGCAAGCGACGCGACAAACUACAACGGUUCUAUUAUAAUGAACAACUCUGCGACGCGGUGAAAUUAAGUUUGUCGCGUCGCGUCAGAUGGGGCUUGAGCGUCGGGGCGUCGCCUUGGCUCGACCCGAACCAAUCGGGAUUCCGCUCAGAACUUUGUAAACAACACAGUUGCACGCUGUAUGAAAACUUUACUACGAGAGGAUGUCGCGUGCCGAGGACCGCCAGAACAUCACUCAACCAGGCUGGAAUUCCUCCAGGAAGGCCGAAAGAAGCCUGGCACUUGCUUGCAGCUUGCAGCCAGGCUUGGGCAGCUGGGAUCUGGAAGGAGUUCCCUGCAGUUCUGGAGCACUCUGGCACCGCUCACACCCCCUACAUCAAACCCGUACCACACACCCCGCCUGCUCCCGCUCCACCUUCUUCUGCACAACACAAUACAGAGGAGCUCUGUGCUUCUAUACACCCACACACACACACACACACACACACAGAGAGAGACAGCGAGCUGUAAAUGCGAUUCAAGGAUUCAAGCAGGCGCCCCUCAGUUGCCAACUCUGCUCUGUGUGGCACUUGACACAGGCGCUCUCGCAUAAUCUGCCUAUUAUUCAUUGUUAGUGGCGAGACUCUUCAACACACUUCAAGGUCUAUUCAUCUGCAGAAACAAGUACUGUACUGGGUAUCAGCACUGUGGAAACGGUCCCCCAUUUGCCCUUUCAAAUUCGCCUACCAUGCAAGAUACGGCGCUGAACAGGAGCUGUUUCUUCAGCUGGAAUCUAUAGUGGUUUCUUUCCCCCAAGAGCGUCACGGCACCUGCAAGGAGCCGCGAGAGUUUUGGCUACACCAGUAAGGCACCGCAAGCCCCGCCUACCUGCUGAAAGGCAGCCUGCUGACACCCUCCUGAUCGGUUGUCUGGGAUUCUCAGCAGCCAAAAAAGCAGUAAAAAAGGAAUUCCUUCCUAAUGGUCCAUGAAAGCUGUGAUUCACCACUUAUUAUUGUUCAAGCCCUGGCGAAUCUUUCCAUAUUACCUCAGCAUUGUAACCUUCAGAAAACCUGUCCGUCACACUCUAGGGUUUAUUUUCACAUCGUGCCACCUCGUCUCUCUGUUCUGACUUGCUUGAGCAGAUCUAUGGAAUACAGUCGAGUAAUCAAUGGCCCAGAAAGCUCUUCCAGCUGGACACUUGUCAUUGGUGAUGGAGGAAAACCAUGGCAACCGGCCGCUUCUAAAGGACCGCUGGCGUUAGGGAGGUCAGUGCCCUGCCACGAACCCCCUCGCAAGUAAACAGACUUGACGGGGAAGGGCUUUCAGACUUGGACUGUGUUCCUUUCAAUAAUUGCGCUCAUUGUUCUCCAGCCACUGUCAGUUAAAGUUGCAAGCUGUUUGGUAGGCCCCUGUCUGUCUGCCACCCCCCUACGCUAGCAGUGGUAGUGUUGCACCCUCAUGGCUAUCUGCUUGUGCCAGGGCUGAGAUGCCAGCUUGGUGGCCCUGAUGCCCUGAAACUGAUGUGUCUGACAGUGACAGUAUAGGUGUGCUUAGCAGAAUGAAAAUAAAACUUCCUCCCUUCCUUUUGACA